rnacentral:misc_RNA from 1 species
CCGAGGAACUCUCUAUGGGAGACCUCUCACACUUGUCUAAGAACCUGUUGCUUCGGCGGGGCGCGGCAUCGCCGCCGGCUCUGCGGGCGAGACCCCGCCGAAGGUCACACGCUGUACGGUCAGUCUGAAGGAAAGAAGAAAAAUGAACA